CUAAAAUUUAUCUAAUAGUGUUUUAAAUUUUUGUUGUAAAUCAUUCGUCAUUUAACGGAGAAGAAAAUUAAAUACAUAUCAGCAUUUGAUGGCUUUGCUAAGAACUUGCUGUUUCUGUCUUUCACUGAGGCUCGGCUGUUAUAUAAUUGCAGUUUUGCAUAUUGUAACCUAUGUUUUCGAGCUUUUCAACUGCAAAGAGAUAUUCGAUCUAUUGGGACCGGAAGAAAAUGAAGACGACGAAAACAUAGAGCAGAAGAGCAG